CAUACAGUGAGAGAAUGCUUUGACAAAUUGCCUGGCAGAUCGCUAACUGCAAAAAACAUCCGAGUUGCCAUCAGCCAUUACAGCAAACUUAAGAUUUUUCUGGAAGCUCCUUCCUUUUCCUCCUGCUCUUCUGGAGCAAGAAGCCAUUGGGUUCCCUCAAAGGCAAGCCUUGCAGGGUUGAAUAAUUCAAAACAAAUAUGGAAAGAUACUUUGUGAGUUCAUAGACGUCUAACAUGAUAGUGAGUAUUUCAGGUUGCUUUUUCAAGAUCAGCCUCGUAAUGUCUGUAAGUCGUUGCUAUUUAGUGGCUUCA
rnacentral:lncRNA from 1 species